rnacentral:rRNA from 1 species
UGAGGAAUAUUGGUCAAUGGACGAGAGUCUGAACCAGCCAAGUAGCGUGAAGGAUGACUGCCCUAUGGGUUGUAAACUUCUUUUAUACGGGAAUAAAGUUAGCCACGUGUGGCUUUUUGUAUGUACCGUAUGAAUAAGGAUCGGCUAACUCCGUGCCAGCAGCCGCGGUAAUACGGAGGAUCCGAGCGUUAUCCGGAUUUAUUGGGUUUAAAGGGAGCGUAGGCGGGUUGUUAAGUCAGUUGUGAAAGUUUGCGGCUCAACCGUAAAAUUGCAGUUGAUACUGGCGACCUUGAGUGCAACAGAGGUAGGCGGAAUUCGUGGUGUAGCGGUGAAAUGCUUAGAUAUCACGAAGAACUCCGAUUGCGAAGGCAGCUUACUGGAUUGUAACUGACGCUGAUGCUCGAAAGUGUGGGUAUCAAACAGGAUUAGAUACCCUGGUAGUCCACACAGUAAACGAUGAAUACUCGCUGUUGGCGAUAUACGGUCAGCGGCCAAGCGAAAGCAUUAAGUAUUCCACCUGGGGAGUACGCCGGCAACGGUGAAACUCAAAGGAAUUGACGGGGGCCCGCACAAGCGGAGGAACAUGUGGUUUAAUUCGAUGAUACGCGAGGAACCUUACCCGGGCUUAAAUUGCAACUGACUGAACCGGAAACGGUUCUUUCUUCGGACAGUUGUGAAGGUGCUGCAUGGUUGUCGUCAGCUCGUGCCGUGAGGUGCCGGCUUAAGUGCCAUAACGAGCGCAACCCUUAUCGAUAGUUACUAGCAGGUCAUGCUGAGGACUCUAUUGAGACUGCCGUCGUAAGAUGUGAGGAAGGUGGGGAUGACGUCAAAUCAGCACGGCCCUUACGUCCGGGGCUACACACGUGUUACAAUGGGGGGUACAGAAGGCAGCUACACGGCGACGUGGUGCUAAUCCCGAAAGCCUCUCUCAGUUCGGAUUGGAGUCUGCAACCCGACUCCAUGAAGCUGGAUUCGCUAGUAAUCGCGCAUCAGCCACGGCGCGGUGAAUACGUUCCC